CGAGUUCUGAUUAUUGAAAGGUGCUUGCAUCUUGAUUUAAUUUUGAACGACGUGGCGGACGGGUGAGUAACACGUGGGUAACCUGCCCUUAAGUGGGGGAUAACAUUUGGAAACAGAUGCUAAUACCGCAUAAAUCCAAGAACCGCAUGGUUCUUGGCUGAAAGAUGGCGUAAGCUAUCGCUUUUGGAUGGACCCGCGGCGUAUUAGCUAGUUGGUGAGGUAACGGCUCACCAAGGCAAUGAUACGUAGCCGAACUGAGAGGUUGAUCGGCCACAUUGGGACUGAGACACGGCCCAAACUCCUACGGGAGGCAGCAGUAGGGAAUCUUCCACAAUGGACGCAAGUCUGAUGGAGCAACGCCGCGUGAGUGAAGAAGGCUUUCGGGUCGUAAAACUCUGUUGUUGGAGAAGAAUGGUCGGCAGAGUAACUGUUGUCGGCGUGACGGUAUCCAACCAGAAAGCCACGGCUAACUACGUGCCAGCAGCCGCGGUAAUACGUAGGUGGCAAGCGUUAUCCGGAUUUAUUGGGCGUAAAGCGAGCCAGGCGGUUUUUAAGUCUGUGUGAAAGCCUCGCUUACCGAGGAAGUGCAUCGGAA
rnacentral:rRNA from 2 species